AACGAACGCUAGCGGCAUGCUUCAAACAUGCAAGUCGUACGAGAAAGUCCCUUCGGGGGCAAGUAAAGUGGCGCACGGGUGAGUAACACGUAGCUAACGUACCCUCUCGCUGGGGAUAACCCCGGGAAACCGGGGCUAAUACCGAAUGAUCUAAUGCGGGCUGCGGUCUGCAUUGGUAAAGCCGUAAGGCGCGGGAGGAUCGGGCUGCGGUCCAUUAGCUAGUUGGCAGGGUAACGGCCUACCAAGGCGACUAUGGAUAGCUGGUCUGAGAGGAUGAUCAGCCACACUGGAACUGAAACACGGUCCAGACUCCCACGGGAGGCAGCAGUUGGGAAUAUUGGACAAUGGGAGAAAUCCUGAUCCAGCAAUGCCGCGUGAAUGAUGAAGGCCUUCGGGUCGUAAAGUUCUUUCAGCGGGGACGAAGGGAAACUUGACGGUACCCGCAGAAGAAGCACCGGCUAACUACGUGCCAGCAGCCGCGGUAAUACGUAGGGUGCAAGCGUUGUUCGGAAUUAUUGGGCGUAAAGCGCGUGUAGGCGGUUUCCUAAGUCCGGCGUGAAAGCCCGGGGCUUAACCCCGGAAGUGCGCCGGAUACUGGGUGACUAGAGGACGGGAGAGGGAAGCGAAAUUCCUGGUGUAGGGGUGAAAUCCGUAGAUAUCAGGAGGAACAUCAGUGGCGAAGGCGGCUUCCUGGUCCGUUUCUGACGCUGAGAUGCGAAAGCGUGGGGAGCAAACAGGAUUAGAUACCUGGUAGUCCACGCCCUAAACGAUGGGCACUAGUCGUCGGAACACCUAAUAGUUUCGU
rnacentral:rRNA from 1 species